rfam:Beta vulgaris subsp. vulgaris Bvchr5.sca019.con0076.1, whole genome shotgun sequence.
AGGUUGAGGUGUGGGCACUGUCUCAUUAGGUCUUUGAACCUAUUUCAUGCUUCCUUCAGUGUCCCAUCAGGCUCUUGUAGGAAGGUUGGAAGUUUAUGUCUGAUUUU